AAAAGCUGGGUUGAGAAGGUGA
rnacentral:miRNA from 2 species